rnacentral:rRNA from 1 species
CGGAAUGGCGCAGCUAACACAUGCAAGUCGAGCGGAGAGAGGUAGCUUGCUACUGAUCUUAGCGGCGGACGGGUGAGUAAUGCUUAGGAAUCUGCCUAUUAGUGGGGGACAACAUUUCGAAAGGAAUGCUAAUACCGCAUACGUCCUACGGGAGAAAGCAGGGGAUCUUCGGACCUUGCGCUAAUAGAUGAGCCUAAGUCGGAUUAGCUAGUUGGUGGGGUAAAGGCCUACCAAGGCGACGAUCUGUAGCGGGUCUGAGAGGAUGAUCCGCCACACUGGGACUGAGACACGGCCCAGACUCCUACGGGAGGCAGCAGUGGGGAAUAUUGGACAAUGGGCGCAAGCCUGAUCCAGCCAUGCCGCGUGUGUGAAGAAGGCCUUAUGGUUGUAAAGCACUUUAAGCGAGGAGGAGGCUACUUUAGUUAAUACCUAGAGAUAGUGGACGUUACUCGCAGAAUAAGCACCGGCUAACUCUGUGCCAGCAGCCGCGGUAAUACAGAGGGUGCAAGCGUUAAUCGGAUUUACUGGGCGUAAAGCGCGCGUAGGCGGCUAAUUAAGUCAAAUGUGAAAUCCCCGAGCUUAACUUGGGAAUUGCAUUCGAUACUGGUUAGCUAGAGUGUGGGAGAGGAUGGUAGAACUCCAUGGGUAGCGGGUG